ACUCCUACGGGAGGCAGCAGUGGGGAAUUUUCCGCAAUGGGCGAAAGCCUGACGGAGCAAUACCGCGUGAGGGAGGAAGGCUUUAGGGUUGUAAACCUCUUUUCUUAGGGAAGAAAAAAUGACGGUACCUAAGGAAUAAGCAUCGGCUAACUCCGUGCCAGCAGCCGCGGUAAU
rnacentral:rRNA from 1 species